UAUUGAAGUCCAAUUGGGAAU
ensembl:piRNA 21ur-4365 ncRNA